rnacentral:rRNA from 1 species
GACGAACGCUGGCGGCGUGCUUAACACAUGCAAGUCGAACGAAGUGGCGCACGGGUGAGUAACGCGUAAUCAACCUGCCCUUCAGAGGGGGACAACAGUUGGAAACGACUGCUAAUACCUCAUACUGAAGGAGGGGCUUGCGUCUGAUGAGCUAGUUGGAGGGGUAAAGGCCAACCAAGGCGAUGAUCAGUAGACGGUCUGAGAGGAUGAACGGCCAAAUUGGGACUGAGACACGGCCAAGACUCCUACGGGAGGCAGCAGGGGGGAAUCGUCCGAAAUGGACGAAAGUCUGACGGAGCAACGCCGCGUGAGUGAUGACGGCCUUCGGGUUGUAAAGAUCUGUUAAUCGGGACGCGGUACCGGAAUAGAAAGCCACGGCUAACUACGUGCCAGCAGCCGCGGUAAUUC